GAAAACUUUGCCUCGUGUAUCAUGUUCUCAGGUGCCUAAGCCAUUUCAAGUUAAUUUCUCAGGAAAAUUCUCUGAGGGAUCGAACUCAGGACCUUGAGCUUGCGUGGCAGGCACCAGAACCAUUGAGUUAAAUCCACAGCCCAAAGAUUGAUGUCUCGUAUUGAAAAGAUCCAAAGAAGAUAUGGGAUUUUCUCUCAUCACUCAACCAAUUCAGAUGUAUGCAGAUUCUGUACCAGACAGACCCAGGCUUGGAUUCCAGCUGUGCAACCAGAGGAGUGUGUAUGAAGUUUAG